GGAUUGCCUCAGUAACGGCGAGUGAAGCGGCAACAGCUCAAAUUUGAAAUCUGGCCUCUUUCGGGGUUCGAGUUGUAAUUUGUAGAGGAUGUUUCGGGCGCGGCGCCGGUCUAAGUCCCUUGGAACAGGGCGUCACAGAGGGUGAGAAUCCCGUACGUGACCGGUGACCAACCCCACACGAAACCCCUUCGACGAGUCGAGUUGUUUGGGAAUGCAGCUCAAAAUGGGUGGUAAAUUUCAUCUAAAGCUAAAUACCGGCCAGAGACCGAUAGCGCACAAGUAGAGUGAUCGAAAGAUGAAAAGCACUUUGGAAAGAGAGUCAAAAAGUACGUGAAAUUGUUGAAAGGGAAGCGCUUGCAACCAGACCUGUCCGCCGACGAUCAGCCUCCGUUCUCGGGGGUGCACUCGUCGGCGAUCAGGCCAGCAUCGGUUCGGGCGGCGGGAUAAAGGCCCUGGGAAUGUAGCUCCCCUCGGGGAGUGUUAUAGCCCUCGGUGCAAUGCCGCCAGCCCGGACCGAGGACCGCGCUUCGGCUAGGAUGCUGGCGUAAUGGUUGUAAGCGACCCGUCUUGAAACACGGACCAAGGAGUAUAAUAUCUAUGCGAGUGUUUGGGCGUCAAACCCAUACGCGUAAUGAAAGUGAACGGAGGUGAGAACCCUGAAGGGCGCAUCAUCGACCGAUCCUGAUGUCUUCGGAUGGAUUUGAGUACGAGCAUAGCUAUUGUGACCCGAAAGAUGGUGAUCUAUACCUGNAUAGGGUGAAGCCAGAGGAAACUCUGGUGGAGGCUCGCAGCGGUUCUGACGUGCAAAUCGAUCGUCAAAUUUGGGUAUAGGGGCGAAAGACUAAUCGAACCAUCUAGUAGCUGGUUCCUGCCGAAGUUUCCCUCAGGAUAGCAGUAACGUUUUCAGUUUUAUGAGGUAAAGCGAAUGAUUAGAGGCCUUGGGGUUGAAACAACCUUAACCUAUUCUCAAACUUUAAAUAUGUAAGAAGUCCUUGUUACUUAGUUGAACGUGGACAUUUGAAUGCACCGUUACUAGUGGGCCAUUUUUGGUAAGCAGAACUGGCGAUGCGGGAUGAACCGAACGCGAGGUUAAGGUGCCGGAAUGUACGCUCAUCAGACACCAGACUUGUUGUGGUGUCGUNCCGUNCCGUCCNGGCCCCCGGGCCUGGUGCGGGAACCGAGUCCCUUCGGGGGGCAAGGUCUUUGAUCCAUAGGGACCCACUACGAAUGUAGUUCACCCUCCGUCGUUAUAUUAACGGCCCACAGAUCAAGCAGAGGCCGGCGGUUCGUUCUCGGGCCGCUUAAGAUAUGAUCGGCUUCUAGGCUUCAAGCCUGGAAACUUCGCGCAAAAGGUGUUGAUUCAUCUAGACAGCCGGACGGUGGCCAUGGAAGUCGGAACCCGCUAAGGAGUGUGUUGCGAGUUCGUUGCACACCAUAGCUUUCGCUAGCGGCGCCUCUCUCCCAGGAGUAAGGCGUUCGCGACAGCUCUAGAAUGCUUGAAUGUGCCUCUUUCACGGGGGUGCAACCCGCAGCGAGGGGCGAAAGCCUCCCGUCCACAGACUAGACAGAGCUGACCGGAGAAGAUAUCUCCCGGUAAAGAUAUAGUCGUCCCGGGCCCCGAGAGAGGGUCCGACCGCGAGAACAACUCACCGGCCGAAUGAAUCAGCCCUGAAAAUGGAUGGCGCUCAAGCGUGCUACCCAUACCUCGCCGCCAGGGCAGAAACGAUGCCCU
rnacentral:rRNA from 1 species